AAUAAUUGAAGCUAGGAGAGUUACAACAUUGAAAUAGGAGGUUUGUAGCUUUGAUGGUAUAGGGGUUAUGGACAUCCACAUAAAUGAGUAUUUCAAACAGUUGUCGUGUACAACUGUUAUUUUGUAAGCUAUAUAUUCUGUCUGUUCUUUGUUACAAGUCGCGUUUUGUUCAAUUAGGACAAGGCUUUAACCGAUUGGUAUUUUAUUUAUGUAAUACAAAAU
rnacentral:lncRNA from 1 species